rnacentral:rRNA from 1 species
GACGAACGCUGGCGGCGUGCUUAACACAUGCAAGUCGAACGGAAAGGCCCUGCUUUUGUGGGGUGCUCGAGUGGCGAACGGGUGAGUAACACGUGAGUAACCUGCCCUUGACUUUGGGAUAACUUCAGGAAACUGGGGCUAAUACCGGAUAGGAGCUCCUGCUGCAUGGUGGGGGCUGGAAAGUUUCGGCGGUUGGGUAUGGACUCGCGGCUUAUCAGCUUGUUGGUGGGGUAGUGGCUUACAAAGGCUUUGACGGGUAGCCGGCCUGAGAGGGUGACCGGCCACAUUGGGACUGCGAUACGGCCCAGACUCCUACGGGAGGCAGCAGUGGGGAAUAUUGCACAAUGGGCGGAAGCCUGAUGCAGCAACGCCGCGUGCGGGAUGACGGCCUUCGGGUUGUAAACCGCUUUCGCCUGUGACGAAGCGUGAGUGACGGUAAUGGGUAAAGAAGCACCGGCUAACUACGUG